UGCAUCAUCUGCUAGCCUCAGCUGGCUGGUGUCUCCUGAGAUAGAGCAGACUCCACACAGCUUCCUGGUCUCUUACCAGAGUGAAGGGACUGAGCCAAAGUCCAUCUCUACUGGGUCAUGCAGCACAGACAUCACAGGCCUGAAACCAGGAACUGAGUACACUGUUAGAGUCUACACUGAGCUCCAACAUAGAGGAAAGAGCCAGCCUGCUUCUGUUAAAAUCAAAACAGAGAUCCCAGUCCCAGAGCGUCUGACUGUGAGCUCCAUCACUGCAUCAUCUGCUAGCCUCAGCUGGCUGGUGUCUCCUGAGAUGGAGCAGACUCCACACAGCUUCCUGGUCUCUUACCAGAGUGAAGGGACUGAGCCAAAGUCCAUCUCUACUGAGUCAUGCAGCACAGACAUCACAGGCCUGAAACCAGUAACUGACUACACUGUUA
ensembl:lncRNA